rnacentral:rRNA from 1 species
AGCAGUCGCCACGGUAAUACGUAGGGUGCGAGCGUUGAUCGGAAUUACUGGGCGUAAAGCGUGCGCAGGCGGCUUUGCAAGACAGAUGUGAAAUCCCCGGGCUCAACCUGGGAACUGCAUUUGUGACUGCAAGGCUAGAGUGCGGCAGAGGGAGAUGGAAUUCCGCGUGUAGCAGUGAAAUGCGUAGAUAUGCGGAGGAACACCGAUGGCGAAGGCAAUCUCCUGGGCCUGCACUGACGCUCAUGCACGAAAGCGUGGGGAGCAAACAGGAUUAGAUACCCCGUAGUCCCUGUCUCUUAUACC